rnacentral:misc_RNA from 1 species
UCCCCGUUGCCGGGGCAGUCCAAAUAGAAAAAUCCAACUAUUUGCAAGGGUUGCGCUCGUUGAUGGACUUAACCAAACAUCUCACGACACGAGCUGACGACGGCCAUGCAACACCUGUCACUGCUUGUCCCAUACUCAUUUUGAUAAUAUCUGAAACAACUAUUUCAGUAUCAAAACGACUAUGGGACACAUUUUCCUUUCGGAAAACUUGGCAGGAUGUCAAGCCCUGGUAAGGUUCUUCGUUUAUCAUCGAAUUAAAGAACACGCUCCACCGCUUGUGCGGGUCCCCGUCAAUUCCUUUAUGUUUUAGUCUUGCGACCGUACUCCACAGGCGGGAUGCUUAACGCGUUAGCUUCGCUACUGAAGGGGUCGAUACCUCCAACAGCUAGCAUCCAUAGUU